UACGUAGGGUGCGAGCGUUAAUCGGAAUUACUGGGCGUAAAGCGCACGUAGGCGGCUUUGUAAGUUAGAGGUGAAAGCCCAGGGCUCAACCCUGGAAUUGCCUUUAAGACUGCAUCGCUUGAACAUCGGAGAGGUAAGUGGAAUUCCGAGUGUAGAGGUGAAAUUCGUAGAUAUUCGGAAGAACACCAGUGGCGAAGGCGACUUACUGGACGAUUGUUGACGCUGAGGUGCGAAAGCGUGGGGAGCAAACAGG
rnacentral:rRNA from 1 species